ACCACUACAGCUCAGUGGUUAGAGCACUGUUCUUGCAAACCUGGGGUCGUGAGUUCAAUUCUCACUGGUGGCU